AAUGUGUGUUGCUCCUUGUGGCAGGUAUACUGUUCCAAUGCCCUGGGAUCUCUGUAGUGGUCGGUACUGUAUUGAUUAUAAAUGGUGAAGUCCUAGUAUCUUGCUAGAGUGAGCUGGCCAGGAUGGUGGAGCUCUACCACCAUUUCACAGGUUAUAGACAGGGGCCACCAGGUUUCAGGAAAGCAGCAAUGACCCCUCAGUAAUAGUUGGAAAGUGUGAUAUGACACUGAGCUUCACUGUGUUGGUGAAGAAGAGGUGAGGAAAAUAAAAGCUGCAGUUUGCCUCCACCUCUGAAGAAGCACAAUACACCUUUCUGGGUUACCAAUGGGAUACUUCCCAACAGCUUUGUCAUCACAUACAAUAUUCUCAAACAAGAUCUUAAUGGCAUCUACUUUCUCCAGGAACACAGCCCCUGACCUGUGUGUGUUUGCGUAGAGAAGGCAUGCUAUGUACCCCCUAGGAUAUGAAUCUGCCCACCACUCAAGCCUGGGAAAGCUGGCAGAGGAUGCACGUGUUUUACUCACCUGAGUGUUUACAAUGCUCGUGAGGUGCCUCCCUGAUAGUAAUGAUAGCAUCUCACAGUUCAGUUUAAGGAAGCAAUACAGAGACAUGCAAAUCAUCCCUAAGACAUGAGUACUCCAUGUGAGGGUGUUGUGAGGGCCUAAGAAGAAAGACAAUCAUUUGGGACAACGUUCUGAGAAGGGAGAUGGUUGCUGCCCUCGUGGAUUUAACAGACUUGGUUAUGUGGCUAGUUUUCUUUUUCUUCUUCCAUACCUGAACUGUGGUACUCAAGAGAAUCAUCUGAAGCUUGUGUUGGACAGGACAGGCAAUAACUUCAAACUGAAUAAUGAGGCCCAAGAUGGACAGUCCCUCGUUGAGGGUCAGAGCCAGCACCCUUGUAGACUGUGACUACUAGGCCAACUCCUAGAGCUAGAGUUCCAUAUGGACAAGGACAAGCUCUAGCUAGAUCAGAGCAAUUUCAUCACAAAGCAAGUUUUAUUUUCAAUCAUCGCUGCAGACCACAAAGGUCAGGCUAAAUAUCGACAGAUCUCUAUUGUGGGAAAAUUUGGACUUUUGGCUUAUUAUCAGUACUCAACCUUGAUAGGCAGCACCAGAUUAACUGCUAAAGAUUCUAUGCAUCUUUAUCUCAUUAGCCUUUUACAUUUUAUCCUGUUUCUUAGCCUCGGCUGGGGGACGGGUACAGUCAACUCCCACUGGAGCAACAACAUAAAAGGUGGGAAGGAAAAUGUUUAUGUUGACACCAGGGUAGUGAAAGCUAUCCAAGCUAUGGGGAAUUUAAUGCUGAGGAAAGGCAAGAUCAGGGUGGAGCAUCCGGCUGGGGUAGCUGCCUUUCACUGGACCCCUACCAGCCCAGUUUGGGACAUGCAAGGGGAACAGCACAUAGAUAAAGCUUUCUCAAGGUUUAUGAAAGAACAGACGGCAGCACAGCUAACCUCCAGUGCAAAUAAAAAUCAUACAUUUAAGGAAAC
rnacentral:lncRNA from 1 species